UUGUUGGUUAACCUUUUUCUUGAGAAUAUUCAAAUCCUGAAUUACUGAUUUGUAAAUGACAAGGUUUCUUGUUGAAUUAAGCUUUAUCUAAUAAAAUAAUGUUGUCUUGACCGAGAAGUUGGUGUGAGACAUAUAAACAGGCCCAGUGCUAGGUAGGUUAGAGACAUGCAUUUCUAAGUACCCUCAGCUUCAAAUAGCACCAUAAUAAACCUACAUAACCCCAGAACACUAGCUAGCUAGAUACACACGCUUGUCCUACAGUCCAUGUACCUCUAGUUUACACAGAUAUGCAAUAUCUGUAAAUCACUGACAACUUUGUUCCAAUUAAUGUAGCAAUGCCUAAUCUAUUACAGUUAAUCAGUUUUGUACAAAUCACCAUUCUGAAAAUCAUUUACUUUGUAACAUUACAAAUGUUUCAAAAUUCCUGUGACCAGCCUAGGAUAGCACACAGCCUUAACAUGGAGGUAUACCACUAUGGUGCCAUACAGCCUUAACAUGGAGGUAUGAUGCACUAAGGUAGCAUACAGCCUUAACAUGGAGGUACAUGUAUGAUGCACUAAGGUAUCAUACAGUCUUAACAUGGAGGUAUGAUACACUAAGGUAUCAUACAGUCUUAACAUGGAGGUAUGAUGCACUAAGGUAACAUACAGCCUUAACAUGGAGGUAUGAUGCACUAAGGUAUCAUACAGCCUUAACAUGGAGGUAUGAUGCACUAAGGUAGCAUAAAUAUGUACUAAGGUAUCAUACAGUCUUAACAUGGAGGUAUGAUGCACUAAGGUAGCAUACAGUCUUAACAUGGAGGUAUGAUGCACUAAGGUAAAAUACAGUCUUAACAUGGAGGUAUGAUACACUAAGGUAUCAUACAGUCUUAACAUGGAGGUAUGAUGCACUAAUGUAGCAUACAGUCUUAACAUGGAGGUAUGAUGCACUAAGGUAAAAUUCAGUCUUAACAUGGAGGUAUGAUGCACUAAGGUAACAUACAGUCUUAACAUGGAGGUAUGAUGCACUAAGGUAACAUACAGCCUUAACAUGGAGGUAUGAUGCACUAAGGUAACAUACAGUCUUAACAUGGAGGUAUGAUGCACUAAGGUAGCAUACAGUCUUAACAUGGAGGUAUGAUGCACUAAGGUAACAUACAGCCUUAACAUGGAGGUAUGAUGCACUAAGGUAGCAUACAGUCUUAACAUGGUGGUAUGAUGCACUAAGGUAGCAUACAGUCUUAACAUGGAGGUAUGAUGCACUAAGGUAACAUACAGCCUUAACAUGGAGGUAUGAUGCACUAAGGUAACAUACAGCCUUAACAUGGAGGUAUGAUGCACUAAGGUAGCAUACAGCCUUAACAUGGAGGUAUGAUGCACUAAGGUAGCAUACAGUCUUAACAUGGAGGUAUGAUGCACUAAGGUAGCAUACAGUCUUAACAUGGAGGUAUGAUGCACUAAGGUAACAUACAGUCUUAACAUGGAGGUAUGAUGCACUAAGGUAUCAUACAGUCUUAACAUGGAGGUAUGAUGCACUAAGGUAGCAUACAGUCUUAACAUGGAGGUAUGAUGCACUAAGGUAACAUACAGCCUUAACAUGGAGGUAUGAUGCACUAAGGUAACAUACAGCCUUAACAUGGAGGUAUGAUGAACUAAGGUAGCAUACAGCCUUAACAUGGAGGUAUGAUGCACUAAGGUAGCAUACAGUCUUAACAUGGAGGUAUGAUGCACUAAGGUAGCAUACAGUCUUAACAUGGAAGUAUGAUGCACUAAGGUAGCAUACAGUCUUAACAUGGAGGUAUGAUACACUAAGGUAACAUACAGCCUUAACAUGGAGGUAUGAUGCACUAAGGUAUCAUUAAUCCUUAACAGUUUUUAUAUAAAACGUAUAAAAUGUAACACUGGUGCAGUAUAGAGACUUCACAGUGGUUAUAGCCAUACAUAGCUUGUAGAAAUAUAAUGAUACUCAUGUGUAACAGAUUUUCAACAACCUUCUAUAUUUCACAAU